rnacentral:ncRNA from 1 species
CAGAGUAGGACGUCCCGCGUGAAGUGCUGCCAGAAUGGGGAGUUGUAUGGCAGACGAAGGAUUUUGGAUCCGCGAUGGGAUAUCCGCACCCGCUGC